GUUCGAUUAUUUUAAAGUAAUCAAUGAUGUGGUGAUGUAAACUAUCGCUGCAUGACCUGAACAGACCGUUCUUUCUGAGGAUGUUUGCUGCUUUCACUUUCCCCUGAGUUAAACAUGGAGCCGCCAUGUUGGAUUCCACAAACUUUUUUUAGUGUAACUCUGUUCAUUCAGCACAAUGGGUUAAAUCUCUGUGGUGACGUAGUGAGUAGGUGACUGUUGGUGUUGUGUGAUACCAACAUGCUGUUGUCUUUUCCUGCUUCACGACUUGUGUGGGUUUGAGUCAUAUUCAUGUAUAUAAAUAAUCUUUCACAGCCUUUCAGGCAGCAGCUGCUUCCUGUGUAUCAGCAGGGACCGAAUAAGUCCACACUGACCGUCCUGUCCCUCUGUGUGGACACGGUGAGUCUGAGGACAUCAUGGCGUCUCUGUACGUAUGCUGCUGUGCUCUGACGUCACUGUUCGAGGUCUGUGCUGAUUUACUUACUGUUGUGUUUCGUCUGUGUGAAACCAGAGAUGCUUUCAGGAUCAGAGUCGAUUCAAAAGAUCUCUGUACAGACUUUAAAGGAACACGCUCUCCACAAAGAAGACCGCCUCCAACAAGCCCUGAAUCCUCUGAACCCAGAGAAACAUCGCAGUCAGGACAUGGAGGUGUUGUUUUUUCCGUUGUUUCCUGCUGCUGCUUCGUUCUGAUGGUCAUGUUUACAGGAAGACACACACACACUGUGUUUUGAUGUCCUCAGUUGGCACUUUGUGGUGUUAUUGACUCUGAAAUGAGACUUUCUUUACUAGAGCUCAUAUCAUCUUCAAACCCUCACUAUUCCUUUUUACAUUGUUACAGUAUUUACAUAUUGUGUGGACAGAUGAGGCCAAACCUGGCUGUGGUCUGAUGUUUCAGAACAAUAAUGUGAUGAAUUUACUUUAUCAACAUGAAGUCAUAUAGUGGGAUGUAGCUGUGCAGCCAGUAUUCAGUGGCAGACCUGACUAGGGCUGGGCGCUAUGACCAAAAUUCUAUAUCGCAAUAAUAAGAACACACACACAGGUUUUUAUGCGGUUCAGGUGAACAUGUAUGAAGCAGAGAUACUUGGGAAAACAGCAGCACCAUCGUCCUCAGGUCUCUGAAACCUGUGUGUGUACCCAAUUCAUAUCAUAACACAAAGGAACACGGUUUACGGUGCGGACCGUGUACCGCCCAGCCCUAAAGCCAACACACUGUGUCUGAAGUCACUCGCUCUUCAUCAUGUGUGAGUCAGUGUAGGACACCAUGUAGUGAGGUCACUGAGCAUUUCACACACUCCCUUCAUCAUAUGCACUAUAUACAUACUGUAGGGUCUAGAGAUUCCAACUGCACAUUCAGACAGCACUACACCAUGGUGCAGGCUCCAUGUGGGCCAUGAAGAGUGAGCAGGGAGUGAUUUCAGACACAGUCUGAGCUGCUCUUUGAUUUGGAGCCGUUACAGGUUUGUAGCCUCUGUUUGUUAAAAGCUGUUUAUUUGAACUUGUUUACUGUAUGUUUUUUAUAUGUUUAUAGUAUGUGAGCGCCCC
ensembl:lncRNA